rnacentral:rRNA from 1 species
GACGAACGCUGGCGGCGUGCUUAACACAUGCAAGUCGAACGGAAAGGCCCCUUUGGGGGUACUCGAGUGGCGAACGGGGGCGUAACACGUGAGUAACCUUCCCUUGCCUUCGGGAUAACUUCAGGAAACUGGGGCUAAUACCGGAUAGAAAUCCUUGCUGCAUGGGGGGGGUUGGAAAGCUUCGGCGGCUUUGGAUGGACUAGCGGCUUAUCAGCUUGUUGGUGGGGUAGUGGCUUACCAAGGCUUCGACGGGUAGACGGCCUGAGAGGGCGACCGGCCACAUUGGGACUGAGAUGCGGCCCAGACUCCUACGGGAGGCAGCAGUGGGGAAUAUUGCACAAUGGGCGGAAGCCUGAUGCAGCAGCGCCGCGUGCGGGAUGACGGCCUUCGGGUUGAAAACCGCUUUCAGCAGGGGCGAAGCUUGUGGUGACGGUACCUGCAGAAGAAGCACCGGCUAACUACGUG